GCCAGUAUGCCACUACACCUUUGUUUCUCGCUCUCCUGUCUCUUUAUGAAAAACUCAGUCUCGCGCUAGCCAUGCUUCAUUCUCUUUCUUCCUCUCGGGCUUCUCUUCUCCACCAUUGAAUGCCCCUUUGAUGGAGCAACAACAAGCUGCGACGAUUAUAUCCCUUUCUCAUGCGGUUUCUGAGCGACCAUUGCCUCUCAAGUUGGCACAAGAGAAUGCACCGGUGCAAGACAAUGUGUUCAGUUAAAACCAAGGAUAACUCUUUCGAUGAUUCUGGGGCUAUUGAGGCUAUUAUGGUCAACAAUAAUCAUGGAUAUAAUUAGAAUUUGGAAUAUGUGGAUUACAAAGUUAUAAAAAAAUAUACAGUAAAACUUCAUGUUUAUAAAAUAAUAUAGAAUUUUUUUUUAAAAAAAUAAGUUUAAAAAAAUAUACAGUAAAAACUUCAUGUUGGGUGUUCGUAAAUAAAGAGGAGCUAACAGCCCCAAACACAACUCAGUUUAAAUAAAUUCUACGAGAAUUACAAACCAAAGAAAAAUCAGCCAAAUACAACGGAAAAAUCCCAGGGGGAGGGGAAUCAAAAAAAGUAACAUUAUUCACCGCAGGUUGAUUCAGGGGAUAUUUGGAUAGUCAGUCUGCACAACCAUUACUCUCCCUGAAGACAUGUGUCAACUGAACCUCCCAAUCUUUCUGUAGCCAUGCUCGAAUGUGAGUCACUAAACGAGACUCUCGAGCUGCUCCCCCUCUUUUGGUGAGCAAAGUGAUUACUGAGCUGGCAUCACUUUCUAAUAAACAGCGUCUCCAACCCCCUUUCCAGGCCAGUUCAAGUCCUUUUAGGACACCCCAAAGUUCAGCAACAAAAGUUGUACACUUACCAAUAUGAUAAGUGAAGCCUUGAAUCCAUCUACCAGUCUCAUCCCUUAUGAUCCCACCACAAGCAGCUUCUCCACCGUUAGACUUGGCUGCUCCGUCUGUGUUAAUUUUUGUUACAGAGGAGAAUAAUAUUUUUAAAAGUGAAUGUAAGUUAUAAAUGUUCAUGUAUAUUCAGUUUAUUAUUAUAACUAUAUUUCAUGAAUUCAAGAAAAAUAAAAUUUACGUGCUCCUAUGUUGUUGUUCGCUUGUUCAUAUUAUUUGAUUGAGGCAUUGCAAAUGAUUAUUGAUAUGUCAAAUUUAUGAAAAAUCUGAUUGAUUGUUUGAGAGUUGCACGGGAGGGGAAAGCUAGUACAAGCCAGAGGAGGAGGCAGCUGGCCUAAUACUUGACUGAAUCUGCAAAUGACAACCCCAUCGUGCAAAACAACAAAAGAAUCCAAGUCAUAUAUGAUUAAAUUUCAUGUCUACAGUGCUAGAGCUAUUCUACUCUUUCAUGCUACAGUUCAUUGCAAUAUUUGUAUUAAAAUAUCAUGUUUUAAAUUACAGAGGAGUUCCCAUUAAA